CAUUAGAUGACUGAAAGCAAGUAAUGGUCUCA
rnacentral:tRNA from 1 species